rnacentral:rRNA from 1 species
GACGAACGCUGGCGGCGUGCUUAACACAUGCAAGUCGAGCGGUAAGGCCCUUUCGGGGGUACACGAGCGGCGAACGGGUGAGUAACACGUGGGUGACCUGCCCUUAGCUCUGGGAUAAGCCUGGGAAACUGGGUCUAAUACCGGAUAUGACUCCAUGAUGCAUGUUGUGGGGUGGAAAGCCUUGUGCGGCUAGGGAUGGGCCCGCGGCCUAUCAGCUUGUUGGUGGGGUGANGGCCUACCAAGGCGACGACGGGUAGCCGGCCUGAGAGGGCGACCGGCCACACUGGGACUGAGACACGGCCCAGACUCCUACGGGAGGCAGCAGUGGGGAAUCUUGCGCAAUGGGCGAAAGCCUGACGCAGCGACGCCGCGUGAGGGAUGACGGCCU